CCUACGGGAGGCAGCAGUAGGGAAUAUUGCUCAAUGGGCGAAACCCUGAACCAGCAAAGCCGCGUGGAGGAUGAAGGUUUUAGGAUUGUAAACUCCUUUUGUUCGAGAAGAUUAUGACGGUAUCUAACGAAUAAGCACCGGCUAACUCCGAGCCAGCAGCCGCGGUAAUACGGAGGGUGCAAGCGGUAAUCGGAAUGACUGGGCGUAAAGAGUGGGUAGGCGGGAAAGCAAGUCAGAUGUGAAAACCAUGGGCUCAACCUGUGGCCUGCCUUUGAAACUGUUUUUCUUGAGUACGGGAGAGGCAGGCGGAAUGCGUGGUGUAGCGGUGAAAUGCGUAGAUAUUAGGAGGAACACCGGUGGCGAAGGCGGUCUGCUGGCCCGCAACUGACGCUGAGGCGCGAAAGCGUGGGGAGCGAACAGGAUUAGAUACCCGGGUAGUC
rnacentral:rRNA from 1 species